rnacentral:rRNA from 1 species
GAUGAACGCUGGCGGCGUGCCUAACACAUGCAAGUCGAACGGGGUUCUAUGUCGGAAGUUUUCGGAUGGAAGAGAUAGGACCCAGUGGCGGACGGGUGAGUAACACGUGGGUAACCUGCCUCAUAGAGGGGGAUAACAGAGAGAAAUCACUGCUAAUACCGCAUAAGCACACAGGAUCGCAUGAUCCAGUGUGAAAAGAUUUAUCGCUAUGAGAUGGACUCGCGUCUGAUUAGCUGGUUGGCGGGGUAAAGGCCCACCAAGGCGACGAUCAGUAGCCGAUCUGAGAGGAUGGCCGGCCACAUUGGGACUGAGACACGGCCCAGACUCCUACGGGAGGCAGCAGUGGGGGAUAUUGCACAAUGGAGGGAACUCUGAUGCAGCAAACGCCCGCGUGAGUGAAAGAAAGUAUUUUCGGUAAUGUAAAA